rnacentral:rRNA from 1 species
AUUGAACGCUGGCGGCAUGCCUUACACAUGCAAGUCGAACGGUAACAGGUCUUCGGAUGCUGACGAGUGGCGAACGGGUGAGUAAUACAUCGGAACGUGCCCGACCGUGGGGGAUAACGGAGCGAAAGCUUUGCUAAUACCGCAUACGAUCUACGGACGAAAGCAGGGGACCGCAAGGCCUUGCGCGGACGGAGCGGCCGAUGGCAGAUUAGGUAGUUGGUGGGAUAAAAGCUUACCAAGCCGACGAUCUGUAGCUGGUCUGAGAGGACGACCAGCCACACUGGGACUGAGACGCGGCCCAGACUCCUACGGGAGGCAGCAGUGGGGAAUUUUGGAAAAUGGGCGAAAGCCUGAACCAGCCAUGCCGCGUGCAGGAUGAAGGCCUUCGGGUGGUAAACUGCUUUUGUACGGAACGAAAAGACUCUUUCUAAUAAAGAGGGUCCAUGACGGUACCGUAAGAAUAGGCACCGGCUAACUACGU